UGUCACGGCGCGCCGCCUUAUAAGGAGUGCGCGUGGCGCGCGCCAUCACCUGACGCGUUCACUUCCUGCUUCCGAUAAAGCGCAGACGCCAUUACGACGUAGCCAUAGCCGGAUCCUCUCCAGCGUCCGGACGGGACCUGGCUUGAGACGCCAUGAGACACCGACUGAGAGAGCGCCCCAAGGCCGCGGCCGGCAGUGCCCGCUACCGGAGGAGAGCAAGGCGGGUCCCCAAAGAGACCUCUACCCCCGGGGACUGCGGUGCGGCCUGUGACGGGGCCUUGCUGUCCGAGCUGGACCAGCUGCUGUCCGCGGAGGAACCCGCCUCAUGGUGGAAGGAGGACCAGCGCCCAGAAGACCCUUCCCUCACCGACCUCCUGGAGGAGCUAGACGAAUACAUCCCGGAGUUGCGCCCCCUAGAGGAAGCCUCGUCCUCCCUCAUAAACAUCGAUGCAGUACCGCAGGUGGCCGCCAGGGGGCGCGGCGCCGCGAACAAGAACGCUGAGGCCGCCCGCCUGAACCGCCAGCGUAAGAAAGAAUACGUCAGCGGCCUGGAGUGCAAGGUGGCCCGGCUGUCCGACGAGAACACCCGGCUGGAGCGGGAGCGGAGGGCCCUGGGGCUCCGUGUCCGGGAGCUGGAGUCCGAGGCGCGGUACCUGAGGGCGGUGCUGGCCAAUGACAGCAAGUUAUCUCAACUCCUGAGCCGCCUGACCGGGGUGGGCGGAGUCAAGAUGUCUACGUCACUAUUCCGCGACACUGCGGAGAGGCCUGACGACCACGACUACGCGCUGCCAGGGCUUGUCUGUACAGCCAAGCCUGAGGAUGAGGAAGAAGCUGCUGCUGCAGCGCCAUCUGGUGGAGUGUGCCUGCAUGUGGACAAGGAGAAGGUGUCAGUGGAGUUCUGCUCGGCCUGUGCCCGGAGCGCAGCCUCUUCAGACAAAAUUUUCUCUUUUAGGUGAAUUGUCGGCCUCGCUCCAUUGCAGGAGUGUUUUAAGAGCGACCCUAUACGUCACGCAACUCGUGGAUUCUGCUGUAUGGGGCGGAAGAUUCGGGACCUGCUGCUCACGACACAUGUCCUGCUUUGUAAUAAAAGGUAGUAUGGUAACAGGAGGAGACCAGAGGUAAUGACAGGGCUUUCUUUUGUAAAAUGUAUUCAUAUCCCUGUUUUGUCUAUAAUGUGGGGAAUGACUUGGAUGUACAUGCAGAUGCUCUGUCUGGUUUCUGUAUCCCAUUAUAGUCUGUAAUGGCGGCCAGGAGCUGCUGGAUAGUAUGCCACGAGUCUUUCCAAGCUGCAAGUAACAUUGCUGUGACAUACAAGCCUAUAUUAUGAUGUACCUUUUUGUGAUGAUGCCUGCGCAUAUAUAUUUUUACAAAACUACAACUCCCACUAUGCCCGGACAGCCUUUGGGCAUACUGGGAAUUGUAGUUUAGCAACAGCUGGAGGCACCCUGGUUGGGGAAAUGCUGCUCUAACACUUGGCCUUACUGCUGUUGCAAAACUGCAACUCCCAGCAUGUCCAGACAGCCAGUGGGGCAUGCUGGGAGUUGUAGUUUUUGCAACAACUGGAGACACACUGUUUGGGAAAACUGCUGCUCUUACGGCUAGGAUGCAGUUAGUAUUUGGCAUUUAGUGACUUGCCCAAUAAUCGAUCAGGCAAAGUACAAAACUAAAAUUCAUUUUAGGGUUGGAUGAGAACAUAUCCAUUGUCUGCAAAACAGAUUUUAUUUUAAGGGUUCCUGUUAGAGAUGAGCGAACUUACAGUAAAUUCGAUUCGUCAUGAA